UAGCAUAUCAAUAAGCGGAGGAAAAGAAACCAACAGGGAUUGCCCUAGUAACGGCGAGUGAAGCGGCAACAGCUCAAAUUUGAAAUCUGGCGUCUUCGGCGUCCGAGUUGUAAUUUGCAGAGGGCGCUUUGGCAUUGGCAGCGGUCCAAGUUCCUUGGAACAGGACGUCACAGAGGGUGAGAAUCCCGUACGUGGUCGCUAGCCUUUACCGUGUAAAGCCCCUUCGACGAGUCGAGUUGUUUGGGAAUGCAGCUCUAAAUGGGAGGUAAAUUUCUUCUAAAGCUAAAUACUGGCCAGAGACCGAUAGCGCACAAGUAGAGUGAUCGAAAGAUGAAAAGCACUUUGGAAAGAGAGUUAAAAAGCACGUGAAAUUGUUGAAAGGGAAGCGCUUGCAGCCAGACUUGCCUGUAGUUGCUCAUCCGGGUUUCUACCCGGUGCACUCUUCUAUAGGCAGGCCAGCAUCAGUUUGGGCGGUUGGAUAAAGGUCUCUGUCAUGUACCUCCUUUCGGGGAGAUCUUAUAGGGGAGACGACAUGCAACCAGCCUGGACUGAGGUCCGCGCAUCUGCUAGGAUGCUGGCGUAAUGGCUGUAAGCGGCCCGUCUUGAAACACGGACCAAGGAGUCUAACAUCUAUGCGAGUGUUUGGGUGUCAAGCCCGAACGCGUAAUGAAAGUGAACGGAGGUGGGAACCUUUCGGGGUGCACCAUCGACCGAUCCUGAUGUCUUCGGAUGGAUUUGAGUAAGAGCAUAGCUGUUGGGACCCGAAAGAUGGUGAACUAUGCUUGAAUAGGGUGAAGCCAGAGGAAACUCUGGUGGAGGCUCGCAGCGGUUCUGACGUGCAAAUCGAUCGUCAAAUUUGGGCAUAGGGGCGAAAGACUAAUCGAACUAUCUUGUAGCUGGUUCCUGCAAUU
rnacentral:rRNA from 1 species